AAGCAGAGGUAUCAACGCAGAGUACGUAGGGGUUACAUUAGAGGCCUGUUUCACCAACACAAAGUAUCUGUACUGGAGCAGCACAUGCAAAUGAAGCCAAAACAGAGAAUCAUUGUUUAAUAUAAUUUGCUUCAGAAAAAAGCUAAACUAUUCUUGUUUUAGUUAAAAAAUAAAAUAAAAUUAAAAAAAAUAAAAAUUGCAUUUUGACACUUUUCCUUGAAGAGCAUUGGGGCUGAGGAAAUGUCUUUAUUUGGCUUAAUAACCUUAUUUCUUCCCAUUAACAUUUUCUGCAGAUUAACUGGUUAGCCAUUAAACACCAACUCUACAAGGAUUUAAGCACACACCUACUUGUGCUCGCAAGAGUUAUCCCACUGAAAUGGGAAUGCUUUCCUGAGCAAAAUAGCUCUGGAUUCAAAGUAGGAAUAGCUAAAAUCCCUAAAGCAGCACCUUUAAAUACAUUAGAAUUCAUUUAAACUUUCACUCUUCUGAGUCUAUAAUUUGAUUGAUUAUUCACUUUAUCAUACUUAAAACUUUUCAUUCAACAGUAAAUGCUUGCUAAGUGUUGUUUAUCUAGUGGCAAUAUGCAAAAAAACAGGCAUAUGCAUAAUAUUGUGCAUCUUUUGAUGCUAAUUACAUUGAGAAUUUUUUACUUUCUUGGUCAAAACUAUUUGCUGUUUCUUACUUUUCUUACUGAUCCUAGAGAUCUUCUCUAAAUGCAGUGGUAUUUAGUUGUGACAUUCACAUUCUCUGGACAGCAAGACAUAAUUCUGUCUCUCAGGAUUUCUUGGAGAGGUACAGAGAGAAGAAAAAAACCCAGUCUUUAUCUCUACUCUUUUGGUUUCCCCAUGUUUAAUUACUUUAUAAUGUUAGAGACCAUUCAGACCUACUUUAAAACUACCCAUUUUUAGAAAAAUUAAAUAUAUGUUUUUACUCACAUAUAUAAAAAAAAAAAUUCUGAAUUCGAAGAAAUUUAGUGCCAUCAGUCACACAAACUUAUAUCUGAAAAGUUUUUGCCAGACAGGACCAAAAAAAAAAUCAAAAAGUUUUUGCCAGACAGCACAGGUACCUUUGCAACAUUUUGCCACAGACUUCAGCAAAGCCAGGGCUUAAGAGUCAGCAUACAGGGCUCACUCCAUUGAAAUGUGAUGUUCUGCAGCACCCUCCAGGACUCUCUUUAAAUAUAGUCUGUCUUACAUGUGGAGAUCAGCAGGUCUGUCUGUGAUAGACCCCUUCCUUUUUGGGUAUUUGCAGUUCAAGAAGGGAUCAUAGAAUCAGAGAAUCAUACAGUCAGAGAAUGGUUUGGCUUAGAAGGGAACCCAAAUCAUCUAGUUCCAAUCCCCCUGCAAUACACAGACUCUUUUCACUGGGCCAAGUCACUCAGAUACCUUGAUCCAUCCAGGCAAGGUAGAACUUCCUUUGGAGUCUUCCUAAAGAGUCAAAUUCUCUAGGAAAGACAUAUUCUUAAUUAACUGAAGCAAAAUAAAAAAAAACAUGCUGCAGCUCUUACACAAGUAAAGCUUUCCAAAUUGGCAAUGGCAGUACAAGAUUUAUCUACUUUGUAAAAGUGUGUAAAAGAUGAAUUGUACAAUACUAUACAGUUCAUUAAAAUGAAAAACAUGGACAGAAGAAGAAACAAUACCAUUUUUCCCAGUAAACUGAGCAAACAGAAUUUAUCUCUGGCACUAUCUGACAUUUGUCAUUUGUACCCUCCUCUGUAUAACACCAAGUAAAGGAUAAGGUUGGUGAAUUUUAAACAUUCUGUUGGCAAGACCUAAUAAUAUAUUACUAACAUGAUAACUCUAAUCAUCCAGCAUCCUACCUUUGCAGUGAGCAGCCUGAAAAAGAGAUAUCUGAUAUGAUAAAAAUGAUUCCUAAAAAUUCCUUGGUUUUUACCUCACUAGUGCUGUCAGUAGAAAUGUAGGCUGGAGUGACACCACCUUCCAUUCUUCACUCCAGAGAUUUAUUCCAGAGGCUAUGAUGUGGCACUUUCAAAAACUACCUCAAUCUCUGCCUUUUUGAACAGUUUACUAAAUUUUGUAAAAAAAUAUAGGGAAAAUAUAUACCUGUGCUAAAACUGCCAAAUACAAAAUGUGUGUUACUUAAGCUGAGUGGUUUGUUUCAAAGCUAAAACUUUUCCUGUACUUUGGAAGGGCUGCCAAUGUAGCUGAUAACCACUAAAGUUGUACUUCAAGGAAUUUGAUGUUUAUAACUACAGUAGUAAUUUACUAAUAUCAAUUUAGUCAGUUCCUUGGAGAGAGAAAGCUAUAUUAGUAAAAUGACCAUAUCUACAUAAGAGUCUUUGCAAAUAUAAACAACAA